UACGGGGGGAGCAAGCGUUGUUCGGAUUUACUGGGCGUAAAGGGCGCGUAGGCGGUCAGCACAAGUCAGUUGUGAAAUCUCCGGGCUUAACUCGGAAAGGUCAACUGAUACUGUGCGACUAGAGUGCAGAAGGGGCAACUGGAAUUCUCGGUGUAGCGGUGAAAUGCGUAGAGAUGUGGCGGAACACCGAUGGCGAAGGCAGCCCCCUGGGCUGAGAUUGACGCUCAGGCACGAAAGCGUGGGGAGCAAACAGG
rnacentral:rRNA from 1 species